UAAUGCAUAGGAAUCUGCCCGAUAGUGGGGGAUAACCUGGGGAAACCCAGGCUAAUACCGCAUACGUCCUACGGGAGAAAGGGGGCUCCGGCUCCCGCUAUGGGAUGAGCCUAUGUCGGAUUAGCUAGUUGGUGAGGUAACGGCUCACCAAGGCCACGAUCCGUAGCUGGUCUGAGAGGAUGAUCAGCCACAUCGGGACUGAGACACGGCCCGAACUCCUACGGGAGGCAGCAGUGGGGAAUAUUGGACAAUGGGGGAAACCCUGAUCCAGCCAUGCCGCGUGUGUGAAGAAGGCCCUCGGGUUGUAAAGCACUUUCAGCGAGGAAGAACGCCUAACGGUUAAUACCCGCUAGGAAAGACAUCACUCGCAGAAGAAGCACCGGCUAACUCCGUGCCAGCAGCCGCGGUAAUACGGAGGGUGCAAGCGUUAAUCGGAAUUACUGGGCGUAAGCGCGCGUAGGUGGCUUGAUAAGCCGGUUGUGAAAGCCCCGGGCUCAACCUGGGAACGGCAUCCGGAACUGUCAAGCUAGAGUGCAGGA
rnacentral:rRNA from 1 species